AAACAAUCCAAUUCUUUAUUCCUUUAAGUUGUGUAUUCAGCAUCAACCAACCAACUCCAUUCAAUAUGAUCGCCAAGUUUUCAUCAGUUUUCUUCGGAAUUGUCCUCCUCGCUCUCGUUGCUUUCUUCGACUCUGCUAAUGCUUAUGGUGACAAAGGUGGUGGUUCCAUUGUUAUCCUUGGCGGUCAUGGUCAAGGUGGUGGUGGUGGUGGUUACAUGCCUUAUCCAAUGAUGAUGGGUGGCUUUGGAGGCUUCGGUGGCUUCGGUGGUUUUGGAAGAAGAUAAACUGUUCCAUUGAAAUAAACUGCAGCUACCUAGAAUGAGAAAUAGAAAAAUAAUGUAUUGAUGUAAAUUAAUAGCUCGCAAAAAUUGUUAUGAACAUUGUUGACCAAUAAUAAAAAGAAUUUUAAAAA